AGAGUUUGAUCCUGGCUCAGGACGAACGUUGGCGGUGCGCUUAAUGCAUGCAAGUCGAGGGAGAACCAUUCGAUCCGUAAGGACUGGAUGGGGAAACCGGCGAACGGGUGCGUAACACGUGAGGAACCUGCCCCGAAGACCGGGAUAGCCCGAGGAAACUCGGAUUAAUACCGGAUACCCUCCUUGGACCACAUGGUCCGCUGAGGAAAUGGUCCGCCGCUUCGGGAUGGCCUCGCGGCCUAUCAGCUUGUUGGUGAGGUAACGGCUCACCAAGGCAAAGACGGGUAGCUGGUCUGAGAGGACGAUCAGCCACACUGGGACUGAGACACGGCCCAGACUCCUACGGGAGGCAGCAGCAGGGAAUAUUGCACAAUGGGCGAAAGCCUGAUGCAGCGACACCGCGUGCGGGAUGAAGGCCCUCGGGUUGUAAACCGCUUUCAGGAGGGACGAAAAUGACGGUACCUCCAGAAGAAGGCCCGGCCAACUACGUGCCAGCAGCCGCGGUAAUACGUAGGGGCCAAACGUUGUCCGGAUUUAUUGGGCGUAAAGGGCUCGUAGGCGGUUCAACAAGUCGAUCGUGAAAGCCCGGGGCUCAACCCCGGGACGCCGGUCGAAACUGUUGUGACUAGGGUCCGGUAGAGGUGAGUGGAAUUCUCGGUGUAGCGGUGGAAUGCGCAGAUAUCGAGAGGAACACCAGUU
rnacentral:rRNA from 1 species